GCCCCGGUAAACGGCGGCCGUAACUAUAACGGUCCUAAGGUAGCGAAAUUCCUUGUCGGGUAAGUUCCGACCUGCACGAAUGGCGUAAUGAUGGCCAGGCUGUCUCCACCCGAGACUCAGUGAAAUUGAACUCGCUGUGAAGAUGCAGUGUACCCGCGGCAAGACGGAAAGACCCCGUGAACCUUUACUAUAGCUUGACACUGAACACUGGUCCUUGAUGUGUAGGAUAGGUGGGAGGCUUUGAAGCGUGGACGCCAGUCUGCGUGGAGCCAACCUUGAAAUACCACCCUUUAAUGGCUGGUGUUCUAACGUAGACCCGUGAUCCGGGUUGCGGACAGUGUCUGGUGGGUAGUUUGACUGGGGCGGUCUCCUCCCAAAGAGUAACGGAGGAGCACGAAGGUUAGCUAAUCCUGGUCGGACAUCAGGAGGUUAGUGCAAUGGCAUAAGCUAGCUUGACUGCGAGAGUGACGGCUCGAGCAGGUGCGAAAGCAGGUCAUAGUGAUCCGGUGGUUCUGAAUGGAAGGGCCAUCGCUCAACGGAUAAAAGGUACUCCGGGGAUAACAGGCUGAUACCGCCCAAGAGUUCAUAUCGACGGCGGUGUUUGGCACCUCGAUGUCGGCUCAUCACAUCCUGGGGCUGAAGUAGGUCCCAAGGGUAUGGCUGUUCGCCAUUUAAAGUGGUACGCGAGCUGGGUUUAGAACGUCGUGAGACAGUUCGGUCCCUAUCUGCCGUGGGCGCUGGAGAAUUGAGGGGGGCUGCUCCUAGUACGAGAGGACCGGAGUGGACGCAUCACUGGUGUUCGGGUUGUCAUGCCAAUGGCACUGCCCGGUAGCUAAAUGCGGAAGAGAUAAGUGCUGAAAGCAUCUAAGCACGAAACUUGCCCCGAGAUGAGUUCUCCCUGAGACUUUAAGUCUCCUGAAGGAACGUUGAAGACUACGACGUUGAUAGGUCGGGUGUGUAAGCGCAGCGAUGCGUUGAGCUAACCGAUACUAAUGAACCGUGAGGCUUAACCUU
rnacentral:rRNA from 1 species